GGGUGGGUAGCUCAGUAGUUAGAGCAUAGGGCUUGGGAUUGAAAGGUCCCGGGUUCGAAUCUCGUAAGAGGCA
rnacentral:tRNA from 1 species